UGACCUGCGGAGGUCAUUA
rnacentral:rRNA from 1 species